rnacentral:lncRNA from 1 species
CGUGAGGCCCGGAGGCCGCUUUCUACCUACAUGGUUGAUCCUACCAGAACCAUAUGCUUGUCUCAAAGAUUAAGCCAUACAUGUCUAAGUACGCAGGGCCGGUCCAGUGAAACUGCAAAUGGCUCAUUAAAUCAGUUAUGGUUCUUUUGGUCACUCGCUCCUCUCCUAAUUGGAAAACUGUGGUAAUUCUAAAUCUAAUACAUGCCAAAGGGCGCUGACCCCCUUCGCGGGGAAGAUGCGUGCAUUUAUCAGAUCAAAACCAACCCAGUCAGCCCCUCUCCAGCCCCGGCCGGAGGGUCAGGUGCCACCAGCUUUUGUGACACUAGAUAACCUCAGGCCAAUGGCAUGCCCCCAGUGGCAGCGACGACCCAUUCAAAAAUCUGCCUUAUCAACUUUCGAUGGUAGUUGCUGUGCCUACCACGGUGACCAUGGGUGAUGGGGAAUCAGGGUUCCACUCUGAAGAGGGAGCCUGAGAAACAGCUACCACAUUCAAGGAAGGCAGCAGGUGCAAAAAUUACCCACUCCCGACCGGGGGAGGUACUGAUGAAAAAUAACAAUACAGGACUCUUUCGAGGCCCUGUAAUUGAAAUGAGUCUACUUUAAAUCCUUUAGGAGGAUCCAUUGGAGGGCAAGUCUGGUGCCAGCAGCCACAGUAAUUCCAGCUCCAAUAGCAUAUAUUAAAGUUGUUAAAAAGCCCGUAGUUAGAUCUUGGGAGUGGGCGGGCAGGCUAGCCAUGGACCGUCCCCGCCCCUUGCCUCUCAGCACCCCCUCGAUGUUCUUAGCUGAGUGUCCCGUGGCCCAAAGCGUUUACUUUGAAAAAGUUAGACUGUUCAAAGCAGGCCUGAGCCACCUAGAUAUCUCAGCUAGGAAUGAUGGAAUAGAACCGCCAUUCUUUUUUGUUGGUUUUCAGGACUGAGGCCAUGAUUAAGAGGGAUGGCUGGGGGCAUUCGUAUUGUGCCACUAGAGGUGAAAUUCUUGGACUGGUGCAGUUCGGACCAGAGCUAAAGCAUUUGCCAAGAAUGUUUUCAUUAACCAAGAACGAAAGUCGGAGUUUCGAAGACGAUCAGAUACCGUCGUUGUUCCGACCAUAAACGAUGCCAACUGGUGAUGCAGCGGUGUUAUUUCCAUGACCCGCUGGGCAGCUUCCCAGAAACCAAAGUCUUUGGGUUUUUGGGGGCACCACCAGGAGUGGAGCCUGCAGC